AGCGCGCCGCCAUAGGAGUGAGGAGCUGCUGUACAUGAUGGAAACCUCCGAGAGCGGCCACGGAGCCGGCGAUGCGGACGCUGCUGAUCUUAUAAACAGGAUGCGCCAGGAGGUCAAAAUGACUUUGAGGGAGAUCAAAUCAAUGCAAGCAAAGGAGAGGAGGACGCAGGGUGCAUACUUGAUAUUUCUUCCCCUUUAACAAAAGGAGUCAGCACCAGAAUGCUGAUUCCUGAGAAGAGGAGAGAUCCCUGGAGACUCUCCAACAAGAAAGAAACACAAACACAAGAUGUUCCUCGAGAAGAACAAGAGGUUAUUGUGCCCAGGAUAAUAACAAGCAAGCUCAGAAAUAUGUCAAGACAGAGCUAUGAGAUGUGGAUUAUAAAUGACAUCUGAAAACAAGACCUGCAUCGAGCUCAGGACUUCUGUAUAGCAUGGCUAGGA